UUAAGCGACUAAGCGUACACGGUGGAUGCCCUGGCAGUCAGAGGCGAUGAAGGACGUGCUAAUCUGCGAAAAGCGUCGGUAAGGUGAUAUGAACCGUUAUAACCGGCGAUGUCCGAAUGGGGAAACCCAGUGCAAUUCGUUGCACUAUCGUUAACUGAAUACAUAGGUUAACGAGGCGAACCGGGGGAACUGAAACAUCUAAGUACCCCGAGGAAAAGAAAUCAACCGAGAUUCCCCCAGUAGCGGCGAGCGAACGGGGAGCAGCCCAGAGUCUGAAUCAGCUUGUGUGUUAGUGGAACGGUCUGGAAAGUCCGACGGUACAGGGUGAUAGUCCCGUACACCAAAAUGCACAGGUUGUGAACUCGAAGAGUAGGGCGGGACACGUGGUAUCCUGUCUGAAUAUGGGGGGACCAUCCUCCAAGGCUAAAUACUCCUGACUGACCGAUAGUGAACCAGUACCGUGAGGGAAAGGCGAAAAGAACCCCGGCGAGGGGAGUGAAAAAGAACCUGAAACCGUGUACGUACAAGCAGUGGGAGCACCUUCGGGUGUGACUGCGUACCUUUUGUAUAAUGGGUCAGCGACUUAUAUUCUGUAGCAAGGUUAACCGUAUAGGGGAGCCGCAGGGAAACCGAGUCUUAACUGGGCGUUAAGUUGCAGGGUAUAGACCCGAAACCCGGUGAUCUAGCCAUGGGCAGGUUGAAGGUUGGGUAACACUAACUGGAGGACCGAACCGACUAAUGUUGAAAAAUUAGCGGAUGACUUGUGGCUGGGGGUGAAAGGCCAAUCAAACCGGGAGAUAGCUGGUUCUCCCCGAAAGCUAUUUAGGUAGCGCCUCGUGAACUCAUCUUCGGGGGUAGAGCACUGUUUCGGCUAGGGGGUCAUCCCGACUUACCAACCCGAUGCAAACUACGAAUACCGAAGAAUGUUAUCACGGGAGACACACGGCGGGUGCUAACGUCCGUCGUGAAGAGGGAAACAACCCAGACCGCCAGCUAAGGUCCCAAAGUCAUGGUUAAGUGGGAAACGAUGUGGGAAGGCACAGACAGCCAGGAUGUUGGCUUAGAAGCAGCCAUCAUUUAAAGAAAGCGUAAUAGCUCACUGGUCGAGUCGGCCUGCGCGGAAGAUGUAACGGGGCUAAACCAUGCACCGAAGCUGCGGCAGCGACACUAUGUGUUGUUGGGUAGGGGAGCGUUCUGUAAGCCUGCGAAGGUGACCUGUGAGGGUUGCUGGAGGUAUCAGAAGUGCGAAUGCUGACAUAAGUAACGAUAAAGCGGGUGAAAAGCCCGCUCGCCGGAAGACCAAGGGUUCCUGUCCAACGUUAAUCGGGGCAGGGUGAGUCGACCCCUAAGGCGAGGCCGAAAGGCGUAGUCGAUGGGAAACAGGUUAAUAUUCCUGUACUUGGUGUUACUGCGAAGGGGGGACGGAGAAGGCUAUGUUAGCCGGGCGACGGUUGUCCCGGUUUAAGCAUGUAGGCUGGUUGUCCAGGCAAAUCCGGAUAAUCAAGGCUGAGGUGUGAUGACGAGGCACUACGGUGCUGAAGUAACAAAUGCCCUGCUUCCAGGAAAAGCCUCUAAGCAUCAGGUAACAUCAAAUCGUACCCCAAACCGACACAGGUGGUCAGGUAGAGAAUACCAAGGCGCUUGAGAGAACUCGGGUGAAGGAACUAGGCAAAAUGGUGCCGUAACUUCGGGAGAAGGCACGCUGGUGUGUAGGUGAAGUCCCUGCGGAUGGAGCUGAGACCAGUCGAAGAUACCAGCUGGCUGCAACUGUUUAUUAAAAACACAGCACUGUGCAAACACGAAAGUGGACGUAUACGGUGUGACGCCUGCCCGGUGCCGGAAGGUUAAUUGAUGGGGUUAUCCGUAAGGAGAAGCUCUUGAUCGAAGCCCCGGUAAACGGCGGCCGUAACUAUAACGGUCCUAAGGUAGCGAAAUUCCUUGUCGGGU
rnacentral:rRNA from 1 species